GGACAUACCUUCUGGGGCAAGACUUGCUUCAGUGGGGCUUUGGUGCUCACUGAGUCUGCUCCCUGAGUGUGUCCCU
rfam:Myotis lucifugus cont2.13332, whole genome shotgun sequence.